CGGCAGCGAAGAGAAGCUGCUAUCGUCGCACUUCAAGGUGAGCAACAGCGGAGUUCUUUGGGUUUCCUGACCCAGACCACCUGCAAGUGGAACAGAAACUAGGUUUCAUGAAGGCAAGUGUUGCGUUUCAUACAGCACCAAAUGACUUUUACAACACGCAGGGAAUAUUUCCUGCCGAGAGAAGGCUGAUGACAUCUCGGUCAUGUCAAAAUUCUUAACAGCUCAACAUUAACCAACUGGAAAGGCAAAGGCAGGCGCACUUCAAACAAGACUCACAUGCCAAUGCUGAGCGUGCUAUUUUAAGUACGUGAUUCAUAAUUCAACACUCCCAAAGUUAAAGCCUUUGAUACAACUUGUUAUUUUGUGCAAAGUCGUCACAUGUACAGUGAAUAUAAUAAUUCUGCACAUCCCUGUUCCGAUGCGAGGUUCUUGCAUCAUAAAAAAAAUGAGACUGAGAUCAUUCAUUUCAAAACUUUUUCCAUCAUUAAUGUGACCUGAAAUCAAACAACU